rnacentral:rRNA from 1 species
AGAGUUGAUCCUGGCUUAGGACGAACGCUGGCGGCGUGCUUAACACAUGCAAGUCGAACGAAGCGACAGUGAAGGAGGCUUCGGCCAAUGGAUCUGUCGACUUAGUGGCGGACGGGUGAGUAACGCGUGAGCAACCUGCCUUCAGAGGGGGAUAACGUUUGGAAACGAACGCUAAUACCGCAUAAUGUAAUUCCGCUGCAUGACGGGAUUACCAAAGGAGCAAUCCGCUGAAAGAUGGGCUCGCGUCCGAUUAGAUAGUUGGUGGGGUAACGGCCUACCAAGUCGACGAUCGGUAGCCGGACUGAGAGGUUGAACGGCCACAUUGGGACUGAGACACGGCCCAGACUCCUACGGGAGGCAGCAGUGGGGAAUAUUGCACAAUGGGCGCAAGCCUGAUUGCAGCAACGCCGCGUGAGGGAAGACGGUUUUCGGAUUGUAAACCUCUGUCCUUGGUGAAGAUCAUGACGGUAGCCGAGGAGGAAGCCACGGCUAACUACGUGCCAGCAGCCGC